AGGGCUCCCUGUUGUGACAAGGUGGGACUCAAGAAAGGCCGCUAGACAAAAGAGGAGGAUCAAAUUAAAUCUUGACCAACUACAUUCAAGCCAAUGGAGAAGGUUCUUGGAGGGCUUUGCCUAACAAUGCUGGGUUACUAAGAUAUGGCAAGAGUUUUAGAUUGAAAUGGAUCAACUAUUGGAGAGCUUAUCUCAAAAGAGGAAACAUCUCUAUUGAAGAGGAAACCAUCAUCACUGAGUUGCAUGCUUCUUUUGGCAAUAGUGUGAGAUGAAUGAGAACAAAGAAGACCCGUCACAAGUUGAUAUGUUUGUUGCAACUCGAACUGGA